UCCAGCAAUGCCGCGUGUGUGAAGAAGGCCUUCGGGUUGUAAAGCACUUUUGUCCGGAAAGAAAACCGCUUCUCUAAUACAGGGGCGGGAUGACGGUACCGGAAGAAUAAGCACCGGCUAACUACGUGCCAGCAGCCGCGGUAAUACGUAGGGUGCAAGCGUUAAUCGGAAUUACUGGGCGUAAAGCGUGCGCAGGCGGUUCGCUAAGACCGAUGUGAAAUCCCCGGGCUUAACCUGGGAACUGCAUUGGUGACUGGCGGGCUAGAGUAUGGCAGAGGGGGGUAGAAUUCCACGUGUAGCAGUGAAAUGCGUAGAGAUGUGGAGGAAUACCGAUGGCGAAGGCAGCCCCCUGGGCCAAUACUGACGCUCAUGCACGAAAGCGUGGGGAGCAAACAGGAUUAGAUACCCUGGUAGUCCACGCCCUAAACGAUGUCAACUAGUUGUCGGGUCUUCAUUGACUUGGUAACGAAGCUAACGCGUGAAGUUGACCGCCUGGGGAGUACGGUCGCAAGAUUAAAACUCAAAGGAAUUGACGGGGACCCGCACAAGCGGUGGAUGAUGUGGAUUAAUUCGAUGCAACGCGAAAAACCUUACCUACCCUUGACAUGUACGGAAUCCUGCUGA
rnacentral:rRNA from 1 species